UUACAGAGUCUCAUCUCUACAAACAUGGAACAACUCACUAUUGUCUUCAUUUUAACUCUCCUGGGUAACACCUUGGAGGAUGAUAUUACUGCCAGCAGUGCUGAAGUGUUUUCAUCAGAGGGUCACAGUGUUACUCUGUCCUGUAAAUACUCAGUUAAAGCUAAUAAUCUCCAGUGGUAUCAACAAGAUCCUGGAUCAGCUCCUCAGUUCCUUCUCCUGAUCAGCGACACUUCAGAUCCAACUGUAGUGACAGCAAAACCUCCACACCCUCGACUGACUGUGAAACUGAAUGAGAAGAGAAACCGUCUGGAUCUACAGAUCUCCUCUGCUGUACUGACUGACUCUGCUGUGUACUACUGUGCUCUGCAGCCCACAGUGACAGGAAACACCACAACUCUGUACAAAAACCUCUGGAGAGAAGACAACACAAUACUCCACAACAUCCACUAG